UGUUAUCGGAGAAAUUGUCAAUUUUAGUGAGGUACAAACGCAAAAACAAGGUGAAAUUACUAGUUGCUAAUUAUUUUAUGUCAUUUGGAUGAUAAAACAUUGUAUUCUCUACAUAAAGCAUUUCAGUAAUUCUUAUUAUCUGAGAAGAGCAAUUGUAAUUGUAAAAGCCAACAAUCAUCUUGGACAGCAUGGGAUCAUUCGAAAACACAUCCAUUUAUGCACUUGUUUUUGUUAACUUACCAUCCUCAUCGAGGGAAACAAGCACAAACAACAGAUGCAGGCCUUUAAGUAGACUUUCAGUUGUUGUACUCUACAUGAAGUAAAAGUGCAUCAAGUAUUUAAUCCCUUGACUAUGUGCAGUGUAUAACAGGAAGCACUUUCCAUUCGCUGUUUGUCCUGAUCGAGCAGAACUUUGGUUUUCAGACGUCGUGGAUAUGGGAGCGACCAUCAAUGACUCGGUUCCUUUCCGAGGUUGGAGAAACAGGAAUAUUGGUGGAGCUUGCAGAGGGACAAACUGUGAUGUUGCAGACAUAAGCUGAAACUGGGAAGGCCAAUUUAGGUGCCUCAGUUCUAUUGAUUCAUGUGAUAAUACAGAAGCAGGAGCAGCACGUACUGACCAAAAAUUUGUUGCAGCAGUAAACAAACUUCAUGACAAAAACAAUACAGUCAUAGUUCCAACAGGUCGCUAAUGAAGAUAAUUUGUUAAUCGAUAUUGCAAACUCAUCAGCCAACAUAGGUCUGUAAUGAAGAUAACGAGUUUAUCGAUAUUGCAAACACAUCAGCCAACAUAUGUAUAUCUAUUGCCGCAAAAGUCGUCGAAGAAGAUUUGAAUGCACGGUUAUAUGGAAUUAUGCUCAACACUGUGUUUAAAAUACA